UUCGAAGAGCAGGAUGAAGCAAGAGGGGGGAGUGAGGAAAACGAGGUAGAGAGGGGGUGAUUUGGGGGACCUGCGCUUAGUUGCGCGGCUCCUGGGUCGCUUGUUUUUCUGCCUGGUAUGCGUUGCCCUUGUGUGAUGCGCUUUGCUCUCUUUUUUUCUUUGUCCGCCUUUGAUUACACACGGUGGAGUUUCUGCUUUUAUUGAUGGCUUUGGGGGAUGGGGGGAGCGUGAGGAUGUCUUGUUCCUUUCGUAUCUCUCUCGUCCCCCAGAGGUAAACACAAACAAGAUUUUUCAUGAUACACAGCCAGUCAAAACAGAAUUCGAGAAACGAAUUUAGCAAUAUUCAAAACUUUCAACAACGGAUCUCUUGGUUCUCGCAUCGAUGAAGAACGCAGCGAACUGCGAUACGUAAUGUGAAUUGCAGAAUUCCGUGAAUCAUCGAAUCUUUGAACGCACAUUGCGCCCCUUGGUAUUCCAGGGGGCAUGCCUGUUUGAGCGUCAUUUCCCUCUCAAACGCUUGCGUUUGGUAGUGAGCGAUACUCUAUCUGACCUGACCCCCCCCGACCUGGGCGACUGGGGAGAGGGGAGCAGGAAGUGGAGUUUGCUUGAAAGUGGGAGGCCAUAGACGGAGCUUAGCUUGAGUGCGCAGUUGAAGCUGCGACGCCUGGCCGCGAAAACGAAGUCGUAUUAGGUUUUACCGACUCGGCGAAGGAAGUAGUGGACGGGGGGAAAAGAGCAGAGCUUUUUUGCUGGCUUGACAGAAUUCUCAAAGUUUGACCUCAAAUCAGGUAGGAUUACCCGCUGA
rnacentral:misc_RNA from 1 species